rnacentral:piRNA from 1 species
UGCCUAUGCAGUUUUUAGGCACUGGGG